rnacentral:rRNA from 1 species
GACAGAGGGUGCAAACGUUGCUCGGAAUCACUGGGCGUAAAGGGCGUGUAGGUGGUAGUGUAAGUCUGGCGUGAAAUUUUUCGGCUUAACCGGGAAAGGUCGUCGGAUACUGCACAACUAGAGGACGGUAGAGGCGUGUGGAAUUCCGGGUGUAGUGGUGAAAUGCGUAGAGAUCCGGAGGAACACCAGUGGCGAAGGCGACACGCUGGGCCGUACCUGACACUGAUGCGCGACAGCAUGGGGAGCAAACAGG